AGGGGUCGAUAUUGGGGCCGUUGCUCUUUCUUAUCUACAUAAAUGACCUGCCAUUUUAUAUAAAUAACUUAUGUGAAACGGUAUUAUUUGCAGAUGAUACAUCUCUUAUUUUUAAAAUCAGUAGGAACGCAAUAAAUUUUGACGAGGUAAAUGAUGCCCUUUCCCGAGUUAUGUGUUGGUUUACUUAUAAUAACUUGUUACUAAAUUCUAAUAAAACAAAAUGUAUUAGAUUUUCUUUGCCUAACGUAAAACAGGGAUCACUCUAGAUUCUCGUUUGCAAUGGAAGCCCCAUAUUACAAAUCUAUCGGCAAGACUUAGUUCGGCUGCUUUUGCGAUAAGAAAGAUUAGAUGGAUGUCUGAUGUCGAAACGGCGAGGCUUGUAUACUUCAGUUACUUCCAUAGUGUUAUGACAUAUGGUAUAUUGUUGUGGGGCUCAGCGGCCGAUAUUCAAGAUAUUU